UACGGAGGGAGCUAGCGUUAUUCGGAAUUACUGGGCGUAAAGCGCACGUAGGCGGCUUUGUAAGUUAGAGGUGAAAGCCUGGAGCUCAACUCCAGAACUGCCUUUAAGACUGCAUCGCUUGAAUCCAGGGAGAGGUGAGUGGAAUUUCCGAGUGUAGAGGUGAAAAUUCGUAGAUAUUCGGAAGAACACCAGUGGCGAAGGCGGCUCA
rnacentral:rRNA from 1 species